rnacentral:rRNA from 1 species
CAAGUAGUGAGGAAGGCGGGGAUGACGUCAAUCAGCACGGCCCUUACGUCCAGGGCUACACACGUGCUACAAUGGCCGAUACAGAGGGCAGCUACCUGGUGACAGGAUGCAAAUCUCCAAAGUCGGUCUCAGUUCGGAUCGGAGUCUGCAACCCGACUCCGUGAAGUUGGAUUCGCUAGUAAUCGCGCAUCAGCCAUGGCGCGGUGAAUACGUUCCCGGGCCUU